rnacentral:rRNA from 1 species
UACGUAGGGUGCAAGCGUUGUCCGGAAUUAUUGGGCGUAAAGAGCUCGUAGGCGGUCUGUCGCGUCUGCUGUGAAAACCUGGGGCUUAACCCCGGGCCUGCAGUGGGUACGGGCAGACUAGAGUGCGGUAGGGGAGACUGGAAUUCCUGGUGUAGCGGUGAAAUGCGCAGAUAUCAGGAGGAACACCGGUGGCGAAGGCGGGUCUCUGGGCAAUUCCUGACGCUGAGGCGCGAAAGCGUGGGGAGCAAACGGG